GCGGAUGAUGGGAGCUUGCUCCCUGAUGUUAGCGGCGGACGGGUGAGUAACACGUGGGUAACCUGCCUGUAAGACUGGGAUAACUCCGGGAAACCGGGGCUAAUACCGGAUGGUUGUUUGAACCGCAUGGUUCAAACAUAAAAGGUGGCUUCGGCUACCACUUACAGAUGGACCCGCGGCGCAUUAGCUAGUUGGUGAGGUAACGGCUCACCAAGGCAACGAUGCGUAGCCGACCUGAGAGGGUGAUCGGCCACACUGGGACUGAGACACGGCCCAGACUCCUACGGGAGGCAGCAGUAGGGAAUCUUCCGCAAUGGACGAAAGUCUGACGGAGCAACGCCGCGUGAGUGAUGAAGGUUUUCGGAUCGUAAAGCUCUGUUGUUAGGGAAGAACAAGUACCGUUCGAAUAGGGCGGUACCUUGACGGUACCUAACCAGAAAGCCACGGCUAACUACGUGCCAGCAGCCGCGGUAAUACGUAGGUGGCAAGCGUUGUCCGGAAUUAUUGGGCGUAAAGGGCUCGCAGGCGGUUUCUUAAGUCUGAUGUGAAAGCCCCCGGCUCAACCGGGGAGGGUCAUUGGAAACUGGGGAACUUGAGUGCAGAAGAGGAGAGUGGAAUUCCACGUGUAGCGGUGAAAUGCGUAGAGAUGUGGAGGAACACCAGUGGCGAAGGCGACUCUCUGGUCUGUAACUGACGCUGAGGAGCGAAAGCGUGGGGAGCGAACAGGAUUAGAUACCUUGG
rnacentral:rRNA from 1 species